UACAGAGACCUCAAGCGUUAUUCGGAAUCAUUGGGCGUAAAGCGUACCGAUAGGUGGUUGUACAAGUCAGAAGUGAAAUCUCCGAGCUCAACUCGGAAUCUGUCUUUUGAAACUGUACGACUAGAGGGGCAAAGAGGAAGCUAGAACGAACGGUGUAGUAGUAAAAUGCGUUGAUAUCGUUCGGAAUACCAAUAGCGAAGGCAGGCUUCUGGGUGCCACCUGACACUGCUAGGACGAAAGCGUGGGGAGCGAAUGGG
rnacentral:rRNA from 1 species